CCAAAGGCUCUUUUAAGAGCCACUUAAUAAAUGAAAGUGUGUGUGG
rfam:Salmo salar isolate Sally breed double haploid chromosome ssa28, whole genome shotgun sequence.